rnacentral:rRNA from 1 species
UACGUAGGGGGCAAGCGUUGUCCGGAUUCAUUGGGCGUAAAGAGCGUGUAGGCGGCCAGGUAGGUCGGUUGUGAAAACUGGAGGCUCAACCUUCAGAGGUCGACCGAAACCAUCUGGCUAGAGUUCGGUAGGGGAGACUGGAAUUCCUGGUGUAGCGGUGAAAUGCGCAGAUAUCAGGAGGAACACCGGUGGCGAAGGCGGCGACCUGGGUCGAUACUGACGCUGAGGUGCGAAAGCGUGGGGAGCAAACAGG